rnacentral:ribozyme from 1 species
AGCAAUACCUCGCUGAUACGGGGGUGGAUCCAAAGCCUCUAAAGGUUAACAUAGACUCUCCACCUCCUACUUCUACUCAAUAAGUCCCCGUUGUACAGAACGGUAACAUGUCUCUCAAUUAUUCAAGCUUGGGUAUACGGGAAAACCCAACCCCUUGGACGGAUGGGUUGCAUGGCAAAAUUGAGAGAG